rnacentral:rRNA from 1 species
UACGAAGGGGGCUAGCGUUGUUCGGAAUUACUGGGCGUAAAGGGCGCGUAGGCGGUCCCUCAAGUCAGGCGUGAAAGCCCCGGGCUCAACCUGGGAACCGCGCUUGAGACUGGUGGGCUAGAGUUCGGGAGAGGAUGGUGGAAUUCCCAGUGUAGAGGUGAAAUUCGUAGAUAUUGGGAAGAACACCGAUGGCGAAGGCAGCCAUCUGGACCGACACUGACGCUGAGGCGCGAAAGCGUGGGAAGCAAACAGG